rnacentral:lncRNA from 13 species
CAAAUCAAAUUAGUAUGUCUAUGUAGAAUUCAAAUAUAUUAUAAACUUUUCUGUUCUUUUUCUGAAAUUAGAAUUGAACUCUGAAGUUUGUAUUUUAUCUGGCAACCCUAGAAGAGAUACAAGGAAAAAGAUUAUUAUACAACUCUUUCGUGGUUUCUCAAGAUAUCCAGCAAGAAAGGAAGAGAAAUGCCUCACCUUGCUCCAGGAAAACGACAGACUGUGAUGAUAUAUCCAUGAGAAAAUAGGCCUGGACUCAAGGAACUUUUCUCCUUUAACACACCCAUGACAGAGUCUCACUUUGCCAUCCAGGCUGCAGUGCAGUGGCUCUAUCUCAGUUCAAUGCAACCUCCACCUCCUGUGUUCAAGCGAUUCUCGUGCCUCAGCCACCAGGAGAGCUGGGAUUAUAGGUAAGCACCACCAAGCCCAGCUAAUUUUUGUAUUUUUUAGUAGAGAAGGGGUUUUGCCAUGUUUGCCAC